GCAUAUCAAUAAGCGGAGGAAAAGAAACCAACAGGGAUUGCCCUUAGUAACGGCGAAGUGAAGCGGCAACAGCUCAAAUUUGAAAUCUGGCUUCGGCCCGAGUUGUAAUUUGCAGAGGAAGCUUUAGGCGCGGCACCUUCUGAGUCCCCUGGAACGGGGCGCCAUAGAGGGUGAGAGCCCCGUAUAGUUGGAUGCCUAGCCUGUGUAAAGCUCCUUCGACGAGUCGAGUAGUUUGGGAAUGCUGCUCAAAAUGGGAGGUAAAUUUCUUCUAAAGCUAAAUACCGGCCAGAGACCGAUAGCGCACAAGUAGAGUGAUCGAAAGAUGAAAAGCACUUUGAAAAGAGGGUUAAAUAGCACGUGAAAUUGUUGAAAGGGAAGCGCUUGUGACCAGACUUGCGCCGGGCUGAUCAUCCGGUGUUCUCACCGGUGCACUCUGCCCGGCUCAGGCCAGCAUCGGUUCUCGCGGGGGGAUAAAGGCCCUGGGAACGUAGCUCCUCCGGGAGUGUUAUAGCCCGGGGCGCAAUGCCCUCGCGGGGACCGAGGUUCGCGCUCUGCAAGGAUGCUGGCGUAAUGGUCACCAGCGACCCGUCUUGAAACACGGACCAAGGAGUCAAGGUUUUGCGCGAGUGUUUGGGUGUAAAACCCGCACGCGUAAUGAAAGUGAACGUAGGUGAGAGCUUCGGCGCAUCAUCGACCGAUCCUGAUGUUCUCGGAUGGAUUUGAGUAGGAGCGUUAAGCCUUGGACCCGAAAGAUGGUGAACUAUGCUUGGAUAGGGUGAAGCCAGAGGAAACUCUGGUGGAGGCUCGCAGCGGUUCUGACGUGCAAAUCGAUCGUCAAAUCUGAGCAUGGGGGCGAAAGACUAAUCGAACCAUCUAGUAGCUGGUUACCGC
rnacentral:rRNA from 1 species